CAGUGGGAUGCCUACCUGCCAGCUGAUUUGCCCCAGUGUCCCUAAUAAUGUAUUACUGCAAACUAACUUGAAAGAGGACUGAUGGAGUGACAGAUCAGUUAGGUUUCAAAUAAGAACAAGCAUACCUUCUUCAAACAGUGCUUGACACAAAAGAGAACAGUGAAGUGUAAUGCUGCAGGUUAAUAAAAUUAAAAGACAGCAGCUGUAUCUGCUGCCUUGCAGAGAGCCAAGACACUGCUCCCUGCUGAAAGAAACUGCUUUGGAGCCUUAGCAUAAGAAUAACCAUGUUGUCUGAGGAGAAAAGAAGCCAUACUGAGUUUACUUCAUCUACUCAUACUGGUAGACCACGGAUAAGUAUAGUCACACUAUACAUUUGGAAGCACCUGCAGUUAAUUUAUCAGAUGAUGUUACCCAAGGCAAUGGAGAAUACCCAAGGCCGCA